AUUACUGGGUGUAAAGGGAGCGCAGGCGGAUUGGCAAGUUGGGAGUGAAAUCUAUGGGCUCAACCCAUAAAUUGCUUUCAAAACUGUCAGUCUUGAGUGGUGUAGAGGUAGGCGGAAUUCCCGGUGUAGCGGUGGAAUGCGUAGAUAUCGGGAGGAACACCAGUGGCGAGGGCGGCCUACUGGGCACUAACUGACGCUGAGGCUCGAAAGCAUGGGUAGCAAACAGGAUUAGAUACCCUGGUAGUCCAUGCCGUAAACGAUGAUUACUAGGUGUGGGAGGAUUGACCCCUUCCGUGCCGCAAUUAACACAAUAAUUAAUCCACCUGGGGAGUACGACCGCAAGG
rnacentral:rRNA from 1 species